rnacentral:rRNA from 1 species
UACAGAGGGUGCGAGCGUUAAUCGGAAUUACUGGGCGUAAAGGGGGCGUAGGCGGUUGAUUAAGUUAGAUGUGAAAUCCCCGGGCUUAACCUGGGAAUUGCAUUUAAUACUGAAUGACUAGAGUAGAGUAGAGGGAAGUGGAAUUUCCGGUGUAGCGGUGAAAUGCGUAGAUAUCGGAAAGAACAUCAGUGGCGAAGGCGGCUUCCUGGACUCAUACUGACGCUGAGGCACGAAAGCAUGGGGAGCAAACAGG